rnacentral:rRNA from 1 species
GACGAACGCUGGCGGCGUGCCUAAUACAUGCAAGUAGAACGCUGAAGCGAGGAGCUUGCUCUUCUUGGAUGAGUUGCGAACGGGUGAGUAACGCGUAGGUAACCUGCCUUGUAGCGGGGGAUAACUAUUGGAAACGAUAGCUAAUACCGCAUAACAAUGGAUGACACAUGUCAUUUAUUUGAAAGGGGCAAUUGUUCCACUACAAGAUGGACCUGCGUUGUAUUAGCUAGUAGGUGAGGUAAUGGCUCACCUAGGCGACGAUACAUAGCCGACCUGAGAGGGUGGUCGGCCCCACUGGGACUGAGACACGGCCCAGACUCCUACGGGAGGCAGCAGUAGGGAAUCUUCGGAAAUGGGGGCAACCCUGACCGAGCAACGCCGCGUGAGUGAAGAAGGUUUUCGGAUCGUAAAGCUCUGUUGUAAGUCAAGAAAGGGUGUGAGAGUGGAAAGUUCACACUGUGACGGUAGCUUAACAGAAAGGGACGGCUAACUACGUG